rnacentral:rRNA from 1 species
CGGGCCUCUCGCGUCAGGAUAUGCCUAGGUGGGAUUAGCUAGUUGGUGAGGUAAGGGCUCACCAAGGCGACGAUCCCUAGCUGGUCUGAGAGGAUGAUCAGCCACACUGGAACUGAGACACGGUCCAGACUCCUACGGGAGGCAGCAGUGGGGAAUAUUGCACAAUGGGCGCAAGCCUGAUGCAGCCAUGCCGCGUGUAUGAAGAAGGCCUUCGGGUUGUAAAGUACUUUCAGUCGUGAGGAAGGUAGUGUAGUUAAUAGCUGCAUUAUUUGACGUUAGCGACAGAAGAAGCACCGGCUAACUCCGUGCCAGCAGCCGCGGUAAUACGGAGGGUGCGAGCGUUAAUCGGAAUUACUGGGCGUAAAGCGCAUGCAGGUGGUUUGUUAAGUCAGAUGUGAAAGCCCGGGGCUCAACCUCGGAAUAGCAUUUGAAACUGGCAGACUAGAGUACUGUAGAGGGGGGUAGAAUUUCAGGUGUAGCGGUGAAAUGCGUAGAGAUCUGAAGGAAUACCGGUGGCGAAGGCGGCCCCCUGGACAGAUACUGACACUCAGAUGCGAAAGCGUGGGGAGCAAACAGGAUUAGAUACCCUGGUAGUCCACGCCGUAAACGAUGUCUACUUGGAGGUUGUGGCCUUGAGCCGUGGCUUUCGGAGCUAACGCGUUAAGUAGACCGCCUGGGGAGUACGGUCGCAAGAUUAAAACUCAAAUGAAUUGACGGGGGCCCGCACAAGCGGUGGAGCAUGUGGUUUAAUUCGAUGCAACGCGAAGAACCUUACCUACUCUUGACAUCCAGAGAACUUUCCAGAGAUGGAUUGGUGCCUUCGGGAACUCUGAGACAGGUGCUGCAUGGCUGUCGUCAGCUCGUGUUGUGAAAUGUUGGGUUAAGUCCCGCAACGAGCGCAACCCUUAUCCUUGUUUGCCAGCGAGUAAUGUCGGGAACUCCAGGGAGACUGCCGGUGAUAAACCGGAGGAAGGUGGGGACGACGUCAAGUCAUCAUGGCCCUUACGAGUAGGGCUACACACGUGCUACAAUGGCGCAUACAGAGGGCGGCCAACUUGCGAAAGUGAGCGAAUCCCAAAAAGUGCGUCGUAGUCCGGAUUGGAGUCUGCAACUCGACUCCAUGAAGUCGGAAUCGCUAGUAAUCGUGGAUCAGAAUGCCACGGUGAAUACGUUCCCGGGCCUUGUACACACCGCCCGUCACACCAUGGGAGUGGGCUGCAAAAGAAGUAGGUAGUUUAACCUUCGGGGGGGACGCUUACCACUUUGUGGUUCAUGACUGGGGUGAAUCU